rnacentral:tRNA from 1 species
AGCUAGGUAGUAUAAAGGUAAUACAUUGAAUUGCAAAUUCAAAAAGUAAGGGUUCGAAUCUCUUUCUAGCUU